rnacentral:rRNA from 1 species
GAAGCCUUUGCACCCCGAAAGGGGCAAGCUCCGCGACUAUAAAAAAGGAGAUUUACAGCAGGUAGUCCUAGUGACUGCAACACAAUCGAAUUGCGGGAAUGUCCUAAAGCUCUCCAGUACUAACUCGUCAUGGAAACAUGGCGAGGGCCCGCGUUAAUCGCGUGGGGGAUGGUCACAAUCUGUGUGAGAUAUUACAAUGGACUAUUCGCAGCGAAGCCCCUAACGGUACAUGCCUACGGGGAACGUUCACAGACUAAGUGGUUGUGGGUACAGAGCCUGUACCUAAGAUAUAGUCGGGCCAUUAAGGAGACUUAGUGGGGUGUUUCGCACCAAACCGUUCCGUAGGUGAACCUGCGGAAGGAUCAUUACAGAGUUCAUGCCCUAACGGGUAGACCUCCCACCCUUGUGUGUUUAUACUUCGUUGCUUUGGCGGAUUGCUGAGGACGUCAAGUCUAAGGCCUCAGGCUUUCGAGUCUGUAGAGUCGUUCGCCGAAGGAAACCUAAACUCUGAAUGUUAAUGUCGUCUGAGUACUAUAUAAUAGUUAAAACUUUCAACAACGGAUCUCUUGGUUCUGGCAUCGAUGAAGAACGCAGCGAAAUGCGAUAAGUAAUGUGAAUUGCAGAAUUCAGUGAAUCAUCGAAUCUUUGAACGCACAUUGCGCCCCUUGGUAUUCCGGGGGGCAUGCCUGUUCGAGCGUCAUUUCAACCCUCAAGCUUAGCUUGGGUAUUGGAUCCUGUCCGUCAAACGACAGGUCUUAAAAUCAGUGGCGGCGCCGUUGGGUCCUGAACGUAGUAAUAUAUUUCGUUACAGGUGCCUCGCGUGCUUCUGCCAUUAAACCCCCAAU